GGCGGGUAUGAAUGGAACCACGAGGGUCUUACUGUCUCAAGAGGAAAGCCGAUGAAAUUAUAAUUGUAGUGAAGAUACUACAUAAACAUUGUAAGACGAAAAGACCCUAUCGAGCUUUACUGGAUACCGAUAGCGUUAAUUUAGAAUGAUCGAUACUAAGUAUCCUAAUUCUAAGUUAAUAAUUUUUGUUGGUAGGACAGUUUAGUUGGGGCGACUACCUUUGAAUAAGAAACGAAGGCGAGCUUAUGGUAUUAUUUAAAAUCUCAUUAGCCUCACAGUGAGGGGGACACCCCUAGCUGGCACACCGUAAGGGAUGUGGGCGAUAGUGACCCGAUAUGAUUAUCCAAAAUAAAUAUCGAAAGCGGAUAAAAGCUACCGUAGGGAUAACAGCGUAAUAUUGUCGGAGAGUUCUUAUCGAGGACAG
rnacentral:rRNA from 1 species